UACGUAGGGCGCAAGCGUUGUCCGGAAUUAUUGGGCGUAAAGAGCUCGUAGGCGGCUGGUUGCGUCUGCUGUGAAAUCCCGGGGCUUAACCCCGGGCGUGCAGUGGAUACGGGCCGGCUGGAGGCAGGCAGGGGAGAAUGGAAUUCCCGGUGUAGCGGUGAAAUGCGCAGAUAUCGGGAGGAACACCGGUGGCGAAGGCGGUUCUCUGGGCCUGUUCUGACGCUGAGGAGCGAAAGCGUGGGGAGCGAACAGG
rnacentral:rRNA from 1 species